rnacentral:sRNA from 2 species
AUUCUCCUUGAUAACAGCGACGAUGUUGUUUUAUGGCCUGCGAAAUUAUCGCCAGCACCAGGGAGGAUAACGUUGCGUAAGCAACGGCCCGUAGGGCGAGGCGCAGCCGAGUAAUCCUCCCGGAUGCACCA